GACCCAGACUCCUACGGGAGGCAGCAGUGGGGAAUAUUGCACAAUGGGGGGAACCCUGAUGCAGCGGCGCCGCGUGAGUGAAGAAGUAUUUCGGUAUGUAAAGCUCUAUCAGCAGGGAAGAAGAUGACGGUACCUGACUAAGAAGCCCCGGCUAACUACGUGCCAGCAGCCGCGGUAAUACGUAGGGGGCAAGCGUUAUCCGGAUUUACUGGGUGUAAAGGGAGCGUAGACGGCAGGGCAAGUCUGGAGUGAAAGCCCGGGGCCCAACCCCGGGACUGCUUUGGAAACUGCCAUGCUGGAGUGCUGGAGAGGUAAGCGGAAUUCCUAGUGUAGCGGUGAAAUGCGUAGAUAUUAGGAGGAACACCAGUGGCGAAGGCGGCUUACUGGACAGUAACUGACGUUGAGGCUCGAAAGCGUGGGGAGCAAACAGGAUUAGAUACCCCCGUA
rnacentral:rRNA from 1 species